rnacentral:rRNA from 1 species
CGUGUAGGCGGAUUGCCAAGUCAGAUGUGAAAUCCCCAGGCUUAACUUGGGAACUGCAUUUGAAACUGGCGAUCUUGAGUACGGGAGAGGGAAGUGGAAUUCCUAAUGUAGAGGUGAAAUUCGUAGAUAUUAGGAGGAACACCGGUGGCGAAGGCGGCUUCCUGGACCGAUACUGACGCUGAGACGCGAGAGCGUGGGGAGCAAACA